rnacentral:rRNA from 1 species
GUACGCUGGCGGCACGCCUAACACAUGCAGUCGAACGAAGUAGCAAUACUUAGUGGCAGACGGGUGAGUAACAUGUAGGUAUCUGCCCUUUGGCCUGGAAUAACAUGAGGAAACUUAUGCUAAUACCGGAUAAGUCUUUACGGAGAAAGCUUUAUGCACCAUUGGAUGAGCCUGCACUUGAUUAGUUUGUUGGUGGGGUAAUGGCCUACCAAGACUGUGAUCAAUAGCUGAUUUGAGAGGAUGAUCAGCCACAUUGGGACUGAGACACGGCCCAAACUCCUACGGGAGGCAGCAGUGGGGAAUCUUGCACAAUGGAGGAAACUCUGAUGCAGCGAUGCCGCGUGAGUGAAGAAGGCCUUUGGGUUGUAAAGCUCUUUCGUCGGGGAAGAAAAUGACUGUACCCGAAUAAGAAGGUCCGGCUAACU